rnacentral:rRNA from 1 species
UGCCGCGUGAGUGAAGAAGGCCUUCGGGUUGUAAAGCUCUUUCGGCCGGAACGAAAUCGCAUCUCUUAAUACGGGGUGUGGAUGACGGUACCGGAAGAAGAAGCACCGGCUAACUACGUGCCAGCAGCCGCGGUAAUACGUAGGGUGCGAGCGUUAAUCGGAAUUACUGGGCGUAAAGCGUGCGCAGGCGGUUCGCUAAGACAGGUGUGAAAUCCCCGGGCUUAACCUGGGAAUGGCGCUUGUGACUGGCGGGCUGGAGUACGGCAGAGGGAGGUGGAAUUCCACGUGUAGCAGUGAAAUGCGUAGAGAUGUGGAGGAACACCGAUGGCGAAGGCAGCCUCCUGGGCCAGUACUGACGCUCAUGCACGAAAGCGUGGGGAGCAAACAGGAUUAGAUACCCUGGUAGUCCACGCCCUAAACGAUGCGAACUAGUCGUUGGAGGAGCAAUCCUUUAGUGACGCAGCUAACGCGUGAAGUUCGCCGCCUGGGGAGUACGGUCGCAAGAUUA